rnacentral:rRNA from 1 species
GAAGAGUAGCGAACGGGUGAGUAACGCGUGGGUAACCUACCUCUUAGCGGGGGACAACUAUUGGAAACGAUAGCUAAUACCGCAUAACAAUAUUAAACACAUGUUUAAUAUUUGAAAGUACCAAUUGGUACACUAGGAGAUGGACCCGCGUUGUAUUAGCUAGUUGGUAGUGUAAUGGACUACCAAGGCGAUGAUACAUAGCCGACCUGAGAGGGUGAUCGGCCACAUUGGGACUGAGACACGGCCCAAACUCCUACGGGAGGCAGCAGUAGGGAAUCUUCGGCAAUGGACGAAAGUCUGACCGAGCAACGCCGCGUGAGUGAAGAAGGUUUUCGGAUCGUAAAGCUCUGUUGUAAGAGAAGAACGUGUGUGAGAGUGGAAAGUUCACACAGUGACGGUAACUUACCAGAAAGGGACGGCUAACUACGUGCCAGCAGCCGCGGUAAUACGUAGGUCCCGAGCGUUGUCCGGAUUUAUUGGGCGUAAAGCGAGCGCAGGCGGUUUGAUAAGUCUGAAGUAAAAGGCUGUGGCUUAACCAUAGUAUGCUUUGGAAACUGUCAAACUUGAGUGCAGAAGGGGAGAGUGGAAUUCCAUGUGUAGCGGUGAAAUGCGUAGAUAUAUGGAGGAACACCGGUGGCGAAAGCGGCUCUCUGGUCUGUAACUGACGCUGAGGCUCGAAAGCGUGGGGAGCAAACA